UUGUUCACAAACAAAAUGAACUGCUCUUCUUCUUCUUCUUCUUCUUCUUCUUCUUAUAAUAUUCUUACAAGGUAAAAGCUGUUACCUUUGAAUUUUCUCACAAUUUUCAUUUCUUUAUCUGCAGGUUUUCCAAUUUUUUUUUGAAUUUCUACUUCUCAUGCUUUCUCCAAUUCGACUGAUUUUGUUAGUCGCUGCAGUUGCUUAACAUGGAGAACCUCUUCAAUGGUGCCCUUACAGUUAGGGUUUCAGAUGCAAAUCAAUGAUAUCAUUGUUAUAGUUACUAUAAUUGUUAUUUUGUUGGAGUAGAUGAUAGGUCCUGCUGCUCUGGCACAUUUUCUCGCUCUCUGUAACAGAGAUUUGGUUGUCCAUGGAUGGAAAGAGAAUGGAGGAUGUUGAGAUCAAAUGCAUGGGUGCAACACUUAGCAAUGCAUUCAGAUGUGACUCCCUUGUAAGAUAACCUUUUCUGUGCAUCCUUUUCUGUUAUUGACCUGUUUGUUUCAUUGUAAUGAGAUAUAGUCUUGAGAUCCUGUAUUACAAUUUGAGGUCCUUUAUUCUCUGCAUACAUAAAUCAUGGGAUAGUCAAGGUACUAGCUGUACUUCAAAGCUUUUAAAUUCAUUUUUUUCUUUCAUCCUGCUCUAGUUUCAUGUUUUCCCCUGCUACUUUCUGAUUUUUUAUUCUACUGGCAUUAUUAUCUGGAUUCAACGGAUUUUUUUCGUAUUUGUUCAACAUAUCAUGCAGUGGAACCAACUCUGAUAAUGGUUUUUGUGGUACAAAUGAACCCUAUUUGAACAGUGGAACAGGGAGGUAGUGCCGUUUUGCAGCCAUAUAUAGAUGUUUGGGACAUUGGACCGCAUUAGCGACAAUAUAUAUGGAUUAAUUAUGCCCAGAAGAAAUCACUUUAUGCUCUGGCAAGUAAUUUUGAUAGUUAAUUUGAUCAGCAGCUGGUGUCUAACAUUAUUAGAGGCUAUGCUACAGUUUACAUUUGCUAAACUCUUUCUUCAACAAUUUGUGCUAUUGUUUUAAAAGGGAAGCUGACAUGUUUAAAAUUGUUUACUAGCACAGAGUAAAAUUUGAUGAAGAUCACUCGUCGACUUAUAGCAGUUCUUAGAAAAAGAUGAUGACCUAGUCUUGUACCUCUCUAUAUGUCCUAACUCUUGUGCAAUUCAUCCAGUCUCUAAUCAUUCUUACCAGUCGUUUCUUUUAUAUUUUGCAGAAAUCAAAUGGUGAAUGUAUUCAAGGCUCUGCAGAUGAUGGGCCAAAAGCUCCACUAUUGUAAGUUUGAUAGCAGACAGCAGGAUUAUCUUUCUCGUAAAAGUUUUGAGCUGUAUUUAAAGCAGUGGAAUCUGGAACCUUUGAGCCAAUAAUACUACUUUCCGAAAGUGUUUGUUCAAA